CGGUGGCGAUGCGCUUAGGGGAAACACCCGUACCCAUUCCGAACACGAUGGUUAAGACUUAAGCGGCCGAUGGUACUAUGCUGGAGACGGCAUGGGAGAGCAGGUGGCUGCCGGAUU
rnacentral:rRNA from 8 species